AUUGAACGCUGGCGGCAUGCCUUACACAUGCAAGUCGAACGGCAGCACGGGAGCAAUCCUGGUGGCGAGUGGCGAACGGGUGAGUAAUAUAUCGGAACGUGCCCAGUCGUGGGGGAUAACGUAGCGAAAGCUACGCUAAUACCGCAUACGAUCUAUGGAUGAAAGCGGGGGAUCGCACGACCUCGCGCGAUUGGAGCGGCCGAUAUCAGAUUAGGGAGUUGGUGGGGUAAAGGCCCACCAAGCCAACGAUCUGUAGCUGGUCUGAGAGGACGUGAAGCCACACUGGAACUGAGACACGGUCCAUACGCCUAGGGGAGGCGGCAGUGGGGAAUUUUGGACAAUGGGCGAAAGCCGGAUCCAGCCAGUCCGCGUGCAGGAUGAAGGCCCUCGGGUUGUAAACUGCUUUUGUACAGAACGAAAAGGUUUCUACUAAUACUAGGAGCUCAUGACGGUACUGUAAGAAUAAGCACCGGCUAACUACGUGCCAGCCGCCGCGGUAA
rnacentral:rRNA from 1 species